rnacentral:sRNA from 1 species
CAGGCGUGCCCGCUUGUUGCCGUGAAUGCGCACGCGUACGGAGCGGUCUUCCAUGGUGACGACGUAGGCCUGACG